rfam:Melipona quadrifasciata isolate 0111107301 unplaced genomic scaffold scaffold80, whole genome shotgun sequence.
AAAAAUGUAUGAUGAAUUCAUAGUUCAACUGAUUAAAAUGAAGACGUACUUAUUUGUCUUUCGCUCCUAUCUGAAAACUUUU